ACGUCAUCUACGAAUUCUUAUUUUAUUUCAUACGCAGCGUGAAUGUUGUUUGUAAAGGUUAUCAUUUUAAGUGAAAUAAUUAGUACUAAGUGUUUUCUAGCAUUUUCAGAGGGUAUUACGUGUGUUAUUACACAAUUGAAUUUGUGAGGAAACUAAAGGAAGGACGAACAGAGAAGAAAUUACUAACAGGGAUUCUUUUGCAAAAGUAAGUACAGAGCAGAAGCUUGAAUCUCUGUAUUGAUUGAGUGUACAGUACGUUUAUUCUGAAAAGAAAUUAAGUGUGGUAUAAACAGUGUGUAGUGUGUCGUCUUGAGAUAUCAUUUUAAUGCGUAUCUUGUAAAUUUUUACAUUCCUGAUUUUGAAUUAUACAGUAUUUCAAAACUAAUAUUAAUUGGCAUUUUAAAUAUCAAACAGGAAUAUAUAGAUAUCAAACAGAAAUCAGUAUUUGAAAGAAAUUUUAAAAGGGGAAUUUGUGUGCCUAUAAAAUAUAUUUAAAAUUUGUAAGCUUUUUGAAAAUAGGAAUUUUUCAUAAUGGAUACAAUUGAAUUUAAAAAAGUAGUUGGUGAAAUCAUAGAUAUACUUUGUGCUUGCACAUCAGCUAUCACUUCUUCAGAGCACAAUGAAUGUUGUUUAUGUAACAAUGAGAUCAGAGAGGAUGAAAGUAAUAAAACAUGCGAGUCGUGUAGUAACCAUUUCCAUGUUGCAUGUAUG